UGCCAGCAGCCGCGGUAAUACGGAGGGUGCGAGCGUUGUCCGGAUUUAUUGGGUUUAAAGGGUGCGUAGGCGGCAUUAUAAGUCAGUGGUGAAGUCCUGCGGCUCAACCGUAGAACUGCCAUUGAAACUGUAGUGCUUGAAUCCAUCUGAGGUGGUUGGAAUGCGUAGUGUAGCGGUGAAAUGCAUAGAUAUUACGCAGAACACCAAUUGCGAAGGCAGAUCACUGGGAUGGUAUUGACGCUGAUGCACGAAAGCGUGGGGAGCGAACAGGAUUAGAUA
rnacentral:rRNA from 1 species